rnacentral:lncRNA from 1 species
GGCGGCAGAAGCGGAAGCUCUGCUCACCAGUGCUGGGAUUGACCAGGCGAGCAUAAGCUGCAGAACUGACCCCUCUCUCCUGAGGGCCUCAACCAGGAAACACACAUAGGCUCACUUUGGCUCUCUCAGCCUUCAGAGGAGACAGUCGUAAGGGAUUGUGAUAGAAUCCAGUACCUACCUUCUCUGCUGUACCUAGAAACACCAUAGUGCUAAGAUACUUAAGGUUUGUUGUUCAUUCUGAGCAGCCAAUCCCAGUGACUCCUUUUCUUAAUGAUAGAUUUACUCUCAGUUGGGUUGUCCUGUCUGAACACUGUUGUGCAAGAUUUACUUUCCUUCUUCAAUCGUUCAGAAGAGAUUUAUCACCCAUUAACUCCAGCCAUGAGUCAAAUACAACUAGAAAUUAACUUUGAAAUUGUGAAUGAAUAAUAACUUUAAAUCAAGAAAAGUGUUUUUACAACAAGGAUGCCCAUUGUAUUAGUUAAGUUUCCAGUCACUGAUACACAAUAUCCAACACCCAUAACCCAAAGGAGGAAAGGUUUAAUUUAGCUCCAAGUUUCAGCAGAUUCAGUGUGUGCUCAGCUCGCCCCAAGGCAGAAAGAUCAUGGUAGAAGAGUGUGGCUGAGCAAAGCUGUUUAAUUUGUGAUUGCCCAAAUCACUGCAGAACAGUGCCAGAGAGGAAGGGGCAAAGAGUCAUCAGAUAUAGCACCUGAGGCCACCCCUGCAUGCCCGCCCAGACACACCCAGGAGUGUGCUGUACUAAUCUACUAGGAGUUUCUUAAUUCAAUAAAGUUGACAAGUCAGGAUUACCAGUCACAUCCAUUUUCACUUAUUCCAUUCAGUUUUGACCUGCAGGAUGUAGUCCAUGAAAUGUGGCAUCACCAAGGAAUAAAACAUUUAUGAUUUGGGGAAAAUGAAGUAAUGACAUCACUUCCUACAUGUGACAUGCAUGUAAAUGUAAAACUUUCAAAAGAUUCUACAUCAAAACUAUUAGAAUUGUUGAUUUAUCAAGAAGCUGGGUGCAAAGAUAUUAAAAUCAUUGUGUGUUUAAAAAACAACCAAUAAUAACAUUUAGAAAGUAAGAAAUUGAGGUAUCAUUUGCCAUCGUGUCAAAACAUACAAACUGUCUGGAAAUAAACCUAGUUAAAUAUGUACAUGACUUCUAAGUUGAAACUUCAAACUGUUUUUGCGGUGUAAACAUGGAAAAGUAUCGCCAUGAUUUUUGGCUAAAAAAUAGGAAAGAAAAUAGAUAAUCAUGGAGAAAAAAUAAUCAUAAAUUAAACUACAUGAAAAUUUAUCUACUAAAUGAUACCAUUUAGAGCAGAAAAAGGCAGGCUAGAGUAAAAUAAAUUAUUUGUAAUAUACAUAUCCAAUAAAGAAAGUCUUGUAUCCAAAGAAAAAAUGGAAAUUACUCCAAGCCAUACACACACACACACACACACACACACACACACACACACAAAGAGAGAGACUACCCAGAAGAAAAAACUUGUAAUAGUCUAUAGGAUGAGUGAAGGAACAUGCAUGAGGAUCAUACUGAGCUAUGAUUCUCACAGGAAAAAGUCUACUGUGAUUGAGGUUGUUUGGUCCUGAAUAAGCUGUUUUGUUUCAUGUAAUAAAACUUCCAAAAUUACCAACAAACUAACCUUCCAAUUUGGACAUUUGUCAUGAGUUUUCUUGAAAGAAGUGAAAAUAUUUUAUGUCAAUCAUAAGAAUUUAAAUUUUCACGGAGAACUUAGAAUUUUGAAAAUUUUACAUCUGCCGCUGUCAGCUUGAAAGCUUACAAUACUUAGCUUUCUGAUGUGGUCAGUAGUGAUAGUAACAAAUGUAUGGUGAUUUUACAUUGCAUUGUAUAAAAGUUAAAAUUUAGAAGAACUGUAUAACUGAGGGAACUCAUAUUUUACAAAUGACCAAUGCAUGAGGUAACAAAAUCUUAAAAAUGAAAUGCAAAUGAAAAUUAAAUAAAAAGGAAAGAUGAACGAAGAGAUUUUAAUAUAAAUGAUUGAAAAUUUAUAAUAAUCUGGUUUUAGAUUUCAUUUACACUACAAGUAAGUUUAAGAAACUACCAUUUACUAAGUUACAGGAUCUUAUAAGGAAAAUAUUUACAAUUAUCCAAAAAGGCUUUGCCAUUUUUCAACUAUCUGUGUGUAGAAAGAUUCUCGUCAGAUAAUUCAUCUAAAGCGAUAUACUGCAAAUGACUUUAGAAGCAGACCUGAGAAUCCACCUGUCAUUUUAAGCCAGACAUUAAGGGAAUUUACAAAAAAAUAUAAAACAGUACCACCUCUUACUGGUUUCUUUCUGUUAUAAAAUAUACAGUUUUUUUAGAAAAAGUAUAGAAGUAAUGUUAAUAUAGAAUGACCUUAUUUAAAUUUUAAGAAGGUUAAUAAAUGUAGCCAGGGAUUUAGCUCAGUGGUUCCACCACCUGCUCUGCAAGCACAAGGACCCGAGUUUGAUCCCUGGUACCAAAAUAAAUAAAUAAAUAAAUAAAUAAAUAAAUAAGUAUGUAUGUAUGUAUUUUAAAAUUUCCUAGUUUUAAUUUUGUAUACAGUUGAUAUUGAUAAAUAUGACCUGUGCAAGUGCAAGCUCUUUGGAAUCCUCACUGACUUUUAGGAUCAGAUAAGUUCUAGAGACUCAAAAGUUUGAGAGCCACUGUUGUGGAGCUAUGAAAUUAGAGAGCAUUUGAGAGCUGGGGCUUGAAGCCAGAGACAGCAGAGGUGCUAACUGAGAAAACCUGGAGUUCAGAGUCUGUCUGAGCCCUGGGGUGUGGGUGGGCUUCUUUGGCCAUUUGAAUGAUGACAUACUUCAUUGACCCCUGCCUCUUCACUGCUGAAAUGCUUUCCUAUGUUUCAGCAACAAGGAUGAAUAAAAAAAAAGUAACGAUGAUUUAUUUAAAGCAACCAACAGGCAGCUGCUGGAAACAUGAAAUGAUGUUGUUUUCCUGCUCGAAUUCCUUCAGUGGCCCCUGGACACUGGUGACAGUUGGAGCUCCUUGGCCUGGCACAAGACUUCUUCAUGACCUGCUGUCCUGUUAGCUGCUCAGUCUCACUUUCUUCCGUGGAUUCGUCAUGUACUGCUUUUCUUCCGUUUACUUGCAACACUCAAAUAUUUCUCACAUUAUCUCAUACCUUUUCACAUGAUAAGCCAAUUCUUCUGCUUGGUUGUUUCUACUGUCACCAUUUUUGGAAUGAAAACUCCUUUGUGCAUACUCAUCUAAGCCACUCUCCCUUCUGACACCUUCUCGGGGAAUUUCGCUCCCCUUGCUCUGUUGUCCUUACAUGCCACAUAUUUCUCCAAAAUAGCGUUUACCUCAAAUCUCAUUCAUCUUCAUCUGGACUAUAAAAUGUCCUGUGCAGAAUGUAUUUUUGUACUAGCAUCUGUAACAUCUAGAAAUCUUUUCUAGCACAUAUUAGGAGCAAUGAAUAAACAAACUGUAAUAGAUAAAAGGAGGUUACAUAGUUAUACUAAGCUUUGGGAUUCAUUAUUACUCAGAAAAGUCUACAAAGGAUAGGGGCAGUAGAAAUAAGAAUUAUAAAUUGAAUUCUAUCACUUUUCCACACUUAACAACAUCUAGAGGAAUCAGAGACAAUGAAAUACUUGAUUUAAUAGAUAAUUCCUGGUGUCUGGUUAAGAUAAGAGAGCAAAUUAAAGAAAAGAGACAAAAUUGAUAUGCUAUUAGCAAAAAAGUUCCUUCUGAAUUACAAGGCCAGAUAAGUCUAUGAAAAGCAGAAAUGUAAGUCAUGAAAGUCUUUUCUCUAUACGAUAUUGAUUGGAAAUCCUUUUGCCAUGAACUUUUGUUGUAAAUGUUUAUAUCCUCUUCUUGAUCUUUUUUUUCCUAUUCAGUGACAUUUUUCUUUUAUUCUUUUAUGGGCUGCUUCCCUGUUUAACACCUUUGAACAUCUGGACUCUACUGUUGAGAUGCCAUGGGCAUGGAAUGAGUCAUUAACACUUCUUACCCAGAAUCUCCCAGAAUUUCCUUCUCAAUAAUCUCCCUUUUUAAGGUAGAGAAUUGUAUUAUUCAAAAUAUUUGCCUGCCUUUGUUAGGACUCUUCUCUUCUUGUGGGAGAAUUAUACAUCUCUGAUUAUUUGAUGUCAUACUUGACCCCUUGACUUGCCCUGGUCAGUGAAAUAUGAUUAGAAGUACCACAGAGGACACUUUCAGCAGGAAGUUGGACAGUGAGAUGUUUAUCCAUCUGUCUCUUUCUCCUGUGCCAUGAGACCAGCAUAGUACCAGAGAGCAAUGGUUCUAUCUGCCUGGGUCCCAGAAAGAGGGCACAGUGGAGCAAAGCCUAACAUGGCAUGCAGUGAUUAUGCAAUGCAAAUUUCACACUGAGCUACAUCCCCUGUAUGGCUUGUAUCUAGAUGUCCCCCAGUGCCUUAUGCUGUCAUAGGUGGAGAAUUGUGAAGGUGACUAGAUUAGGGUAUGUGAUGCUGGGAUUAAGGGUGCCACACUCUGGGAGUGGGUGGCACCACGGAAAAGGCAGGUCACCUGGGUAGAAUAUAAAAGGACAGAAAAAACUUCUUUGCUACUUUGCUGCUUGCUGCCUUCUGCCUGCCCUGCUUUGCCAUAGACUAUUUCUCCUCUGCAAUGCCCCUCUGCCUUGCUAACCUGCCUUGGAGCUAGCUGACUAUGGACUGAAAUCUCUGCAAACUGAGCUGAAAUAAAACCUUUCAUCUUUUAACUUUGGGUGUUGGGUACUUUGUCUCAGUAAUGAGAAAAGUAACUAAGACAUCCCCAGGUCAUUUUUAUUUUGAGAAAGAAUCUCAUUUGCUUUCCAAGUUGCCCAAGUGGGGCUCAAACUUGUGAUCCUCCUGAGGCAGCCUCUCAGAGUCUAGGGGUUACAGGCUGCACCAUCACACCUGGUUUCUUCUUUGCCUUUUAUGUCUGAAAUCUUAGUGUUGUGUACUACCACAGUACAAUUUAGUCUACAAUGACACAUUAUCUCUCCCACCCUCAAUAUUUCUCAACACAGUAUCCAGAAUGAACCUUUUAAAAUUGUAAAUUGUAGAGUGUGACUUACCUUACUGAAGUUCCAAAAUGCUCCCUUGUUUCACAAGAGUAAAGUCCAAAUCUUGUACUGGUCCAUAAGGCCCGGUCUGCUGUGCAUCCCUCCACCGCAGCCCUUUCCACUCACUUUCUUGAAUGAAUGAGCUCCGUCCUUAGAAACUUUGCAUCAACUCUUCCUUCUUUCCUCUGGCUAGCUCUCCACAAUCUUCAAGUCUACUCAAGUUACCUUCUUCAUGAGGCCUGCCUUGACCAUCUUAUUUAAAAUGCAUCCUGUUCACCAAUCCUUUCCCCACUCCCUGCACAUUCUACUACUUCUCUCAACUUUGAACACACUCUGUAAUAUAUGUAACUAUGUACAUUUUGUAUUUACUGUCUGUCUCCUCUCAACAAACAUCUUUGCAGAAUCAGGUAUCUUGUCUACUUUGCUCACACAAUAGUGAAAUAGAAUAGUGAUAGAUAUGCAGGAAGCACUAUUUUGUGAUAAGCACCGGACCACAAAACAAGUUCUGUCUGUUCUUGACUUCCUUUGUAUUUCAGCUGAACUGUGAAGUGCUAAUAUAUGAUUUUUAUUACAAUAAAUUUGCUGAGCAGGAAACAGAAUCUAAGGCUAGAAUGUGUGUCACACCUGUGAUGUUUUGAGCUCUGGGCUACUAUUCCAACAAGAGCUGUAAAAAAAGUACAGGGAAGGCAAGUGUGAUGGGGCAUACCCUGUAAUACCAACACUUGGAAGGCUGAGGCAGGAGGAUUGCUGUGAAUUGGAGGCCAUCCCAGGUUACCUAGUGAGUCUAAGGGCAGCCUGAACUACAGAGCAAGACACUAUCUCAAAUAACAACAGCAACAACAAAACAAAACUGAACAAAAAGGGACAAAUUUAGGUAAAUUAAAUGUGCAAUUGGCUUUUUUCUUCCUUUUUUUGGAUACUUUCAUUUUAUUUGAAUAAAAGCGGGAAGAAUAGAGUUGUUUAGAUGAUCAUAAUAGAUCACUUAUUUGAUUUAUUUUAUGCAUAGCAAAAUAAAGAAACCAGAAAUAGUAAGCAGCUUUUCUAUUGCCCUUCUUCCUCCCCACUAACCUGAGUCAGUAAGGUGAGGCAGAGAAGUGCAGUGGGGCCCAUGUGAUAAACUCACUGUGACUGGCCCAGUCAUGGCCACUCUCGAACUGAAGAUGGCCCAGCAGGGCACCGGCCCACGCAGGGACACAGGGAGGCUUGGACACAGAUAGAAACCUCAAGCCUAGCUUUUUGAUCACACAAGAUUUUUACUACUGAAAAAAGGGGGAAAAAUGGUGAUGCUUUAAAGGAUAGCAAUGAAAAAGCAUCAGUUGCUGUUAUUGAAUCCUAUUAUAUCACUUUUUAAUGAACAUUUUGUAUUGUUAUAAGACUAUAUUUUCUUAACUUUGAUGUUUGAUAAUCCUACAUGAGCAGUUAGAAACUAUCUUUUUAUUUAUUUUUUAAAAUUUAUUUUAUUGGUACAUUUUAGGUAUACAAUAUAAUGACAUUCAUCACUGGAAAUGUGCACCUUUACAUACUCUCUUGGUUCUUAUUUUCCCCCUUCCCCUGCCCUCCCUUCAACCCCUCCAUCCUUCCCUAUUUACAAAGAUUUUGUUUCCAUUUUUUCCUUUUCUCAUAUUAAUUCCAUUCCCUUCUUUCUUUUCCCCUACCCCUCCCACUUCCCCUUUGCCUUUGCCCCUUUUCUUCCUUUUUCA